CCGUCCGUAGCUCAACUGGAAGAGCCGCCGUCUUCUAAACGGCUGGUUGUAGGUUCGAGUCCUACCGGGCGGACCA
rnacentral:tRNA from 1 species